CCUACGUGGUGCAGCAGUGGGGAAUAUUGGGCAAUGGGCGCAAGCCUGACCCAGCAACGCCGCGUGAAGGAAGAAGGCUCUCGGGUUGUAAACUUCUUUUAUCAGGGACGAAGCAAGUGACGGUACCUGAUGAAUAAGCCACGUCUAACUACGUGCCAGCAGCCGCGGUAAUACGUAGGUGGCAAGCGUUAUCCGGAUUUACUGGGUGUAAAGGGCGUGUAGGCGGGAAAGCAAGUCAGAUGUGAAAACCAUGGGCUCAACCUGUGGCCUGCAUUUGAAACUGUUUUUCUUGAGUACUGGAGAGGCAGACGGAAUUCCUAGUGUAGCGGUGAAAGGCGUAGAGAUUAGGAGGAACACCAGUGGCGAAGGCGGUCUGCUGGACAGCAACUGACGCUGAGGCGUGAAAGCGUGGGGAGCAAACAGGAUUAGAUACCCCGGUAGUC
rnacentral:rRNA from 1 species